CCUACGGGAGGCAGCAGUGAGGCAUAUUGGUCAAUGGCCGGAAGGCUGAACCAGCCAUGCCGCGUGAAGGUCAGUGCCCUAUGGGCGUUAAACUUCUUUUGUGCGGGAGCAAUAAUGGUCACGUGUGGCCAGACGAGAGUACCGUACGAAUAAGCAUCGGCUAACUCCGUGCCAGCAGCCGCGGUAAUACGGGGGAUUCAAGCGUUAUCCGGAGUUAUUGGGUUUAAAGGGUGCGUAGGCUGUGAGGUAAGUCAGCGGUGAAAUGCCCCCGCUCAACGGGGUGAAGUGCCAUUGAUACUGCCUGGCUGGAAUGCGGAUGCCGUGGGAGGAAUGUGUGGUGUAGCGGUGAAAUGCAUAGAUAUCACACAGAACACCGAUUGCGAAGGCAUCUCACGAAUCCGCGAUUGACGCUGAUGCACGAAAGCGUGGGUAUCAAACAGGAUUAGAUACCCGUGUAGUC
rnacentral:rRNA from 1 species